AACGAACGCUGGCGGCAAGCCUAACACAUGCAAGUCGAACGAGAAAGCUCUUCGGAGUGAGUAGAGUGGCGCACGGGUGAGUAACGCGUGGGAAUGUACCCUUUAGUACGGAAUAGCCCCGGGAAACUGGGAUUAAUACCGUAUACGCCCUUCGGGGGAAAGAUUUAUCGCUAAAGGAUCAGCCCGCGUGACAUUAGUUAGUUGGUGGGGUAAUGGCCUACCAAGACGACGAUGUCUAGCUGGUCUGAGAGGAUGAUCAGCCACACUGGGACUGAGACACGGCCCAGACUCCUACGGGAGGCAGCAGUGGGGAAUAUUGGACAAUGGGGGAAACCCUGAUCCAGCUAUGCCGCGUGAGUGAUAAGGCCUUAGGGUUGUAAAACUCUUUCAACGGUGAAGAUAAUGACGGUAACCGUAGAAGAAGCCCCGGCUAACUUCGUGCCAGCCGCCGCCGUAACAC
rnacentral:rRNA from 1 species